rnacentral:rRNA from 1 species
UACGUAGGGUGCGAGCGUUAAUCGGAAUUACUGGGCGUAAAGUGUGCGUAGGCGGCCGCGCAAGUCGAGUGUGAAAGCCCCGGGCUUAACUUGGGAAUUGCGCUCGAAACUACGUGGCUGGAGUGUGGCAGAGGAAGGUGGAAUUCCACGUGUAGCGGUGAAAUGCGUAGAGAUGUGGAGGAACACCAAUGGCGAAGGCAGCCUUCUGGGCCAACACUGACGCUCAUGCACGAAAGCGUGGGGAGCAAACAGG